CGGCAACAGCUCAAAUUUGAAAUCUGGCUCUUUCAGGGUCCGAGUUGUAAUUUGUAGAAGAUGCUUCGGGUGUGGCUCCGGUCUAAGUUCCUUGGAACGGGAUGUCAUAGAGGGUGAGAACCCCGU
rnacentral:rRNA from 1 species